rnacentral:tRNA from 1 species
GGGUGAUUAGCUCCAGUUGGCUAGAGCAUCUCGUUUACACGAGAGGGUCAGGGGUUCGAGUCCCUCAUCACCCACCA